rnacentral:rRNA from 1 species
GGAUAUCUCGGCUCACGCAUCGAUGAAGAACGUAGCAAAAUGCGAUACUUGGUGUGAAUUGCAGAAUCCCGUGAACCAUCGAGUUUUUGAACGCAAGUUGCGCCCGAAGCCUUUUGGCUGAGGGCACGUCUGCCUGGGCGUCACAC